GAGUUUCAUGUAGCACAUAUACCAAACUUGCAAUAAUAAAGAGAAAUUUUACAUGGCCCCUGGAAAAGGAAACACGCAAAGUUAUGAAGCAUUUACAAUUUUU